ACACACAGGAAAUUUCCAGGUUUUUCCUAUUCAACUCUUCUUUCUAGACACUAGGCUUUAAAUUUCACCUCGAGCUGGAUAAGGCAAGGAUCGAACCCACGACCUCAAGAGUCUCAGUCGGUCUUCUUACCCACUGAGCCAUGUGGACACAGGAAAUUUCCAGGUUUUUCUUAUUUAAGUCUUCUUUCUAGACACUAGGCUUUAAAUUUCACCUCGAGCUGGAUAAGGCAAGGAUCGAACCCACGACCUCAAGAGUCUCAGUCGGUCUUCUUACCCACUGAGCCAUGUGAACACAAAGGGUAACUCCAGGUUUUUCCUAUUUAACUCUUCUUUCUAGACACGUCUUUAAAUUUUAACUAGAUUUGGAUAAGGUAGGGCUCGAACCCACAACCUCAGGAGUGCCAGUCAGUCUUCUUAACCUCUGAGCCAUGUGGACACAUAGGAUAAUUCCGUUUUUUUCCUAUAUUGCUUUCCUUUACAGACACUAAACUUUAAAUUUUAGCUCAAGCUGGAUGAGGCGAGGAUCGAACCCACAACUUCAGGACCACUAGUCAGCCUUCUUAUCCUGUGAGCUAUGGAGACACACAGGCUUAUCUCGAUCAAGGUGAAAUUUAAAGUCUAGUGUCUAGAAAGGAGAGUGAAAUAGGAAACAAACAGGACCCUUCUCUGUGUCAAUGUGGCUCAGAGGAUAACAAGACUGACUGGCACUCCUGAGGUCGUGGGUUCAAUCCUUAUCCAUGUCUAGGUGAAGUCUAGUGUCCAGAAAGGAGAAUGAAAUCGAAUAAAACCGGAAUUCUUUUGUGUGUCCACAUGGCUCAGAGGAAAAGUAAACAAUAAACAUAAGCACAGAGUCUUGAGUCCUUUAGAUCACGUCGAAACCUCCAUUGUGAUUCUAUUAAGGCUGCAGAGAGGUUUCUGUGAGUCACGGUGUCAAAUAAUUUUCUCUAUAGUUAAACUAAAGGAACCUAAAAAUUAGCUCAACUCUCAGCUUUUAAAUCUCGGCACUGAAACAUGAAACUGCAGCUGUGAUACAAAGAAAAUCCUCUUACCUGAGAGCUUCAGCUCAGGGAAGAUGACUGCUCUGUCCUUCUUCCAGCGUGACGUCCAUCAUGCUCACAGUGACAGUGCUCUUUCUCCCCAACGAUUGAUGAGUGUCACGUGAUCACACACUGCGAAUACAGUGUGGCUUUUAAAUGCAUAUUUAGCGUUAACUUCAUUGUUUCGAUGAACACAUUUUCAUUUGUUAAAAUUUUACUUGGCGCUUUUAAAUUAGUCUAUGUAAUUUUAUAUAUAUCAAGACACGAGAAUAAUAGAAGCUUUGAAGAUGCACUGGCAUUUUUAAAAACAAAUGGUAUAAAUGGAUAUUGAUAGGUAAGUUCAUAUUAAGGUAUAAUCACCUGCAUGUGAUUUUUUUAAAACUUAGAAUGAACCAUAAGACCCCUUUCAACAGUUUAGUUGAGGAUUUUUAGAAUUUAAAUCCACGAUAGCACUGAAACUGCACAACUUUGGGUGACUAAUGGUCUACUGAUCGCCGCGGACUGUGGUCUUCUCUUUGUACUUGUUUUGUUGGAUCAGGGUGCUGCUUUCCAUACAAUUUUCCAUCACAUUCUGUUACAAUGGCUUGACUAACAUAUAAGUACAACUGGAAUUACUUACCAAGGUCAGUUACGAGGUUCCGCAGGGUUCAGUGCAAAGACCAAUAAGCUGAGCACCUUUUCCUCCUCCUCCACACUCUUUCUGUCUGUAUCAUUAACUUUAAAAGAUCAUAUUCCAUAAGAGUCACUAAGCAGUCUUGUCCAGGAGUUCAUGUGGUCUGGAUUGCUGCUGCAAACAUUUUGCUGCUUUAGCUACAUGCAACAGUCUCACCUCUGUCUCUCUCUGUGUUUCUGCAACCCCCUUCUAUCCCAUCUCUAAAUCCUAUGCAGAUCGGCAGAUGACUGUCUAACGUGUCUGAUUCUGUGCAAGGUUUCUGCCUGUCAAAUGAUGUUUCUCCUCUGCACUCUAACUUGCUAGGUGCUACACUCGUGAUUGAAGAUGGGAUAGAAGUGGGUCUGAUUCGACUGGAUGGGGUUUAAUCUUUACAUUGGGUCUUUGUAAACGGA